GAGAAAACACAGAUCAAAUGUCCAUCAGCCGUCCACACAGAGACAACCCAACGAUCUGAGGAGCAAAUGUCCAUCAGCCGUCCCCACAGACAUAAUCCAAUGGUCUGAGGAGCAAAUGUCCAUCAGCCGUCCACACAGAGACAACCCAACGAUCUGAGGAGCAAAUGUCCAUCAGCCGUCCCCACAGACAUAAUCCAAUGGUCUGAGGAGCAAAUGUCCAUCAGCCGUCCCCACAGAGACAAUCCAAUGGUCUGAGGAGCAAAUGUCCAUCAGCCGUCCACACAGAGACAACCCAACGAUCUGAGGAGCAAAUGUCCAUCAGCCGUCCCCACAGACAUAAUCCAAUGGUCUGAGGAGCAAAUGUCCAUCAGCCGUCCCCACAGAGACAAUCCAACGGUCUGAGGAGCAAAUGUCCAUCAGCCGUCCCCACAGAGACAUAACCCAUGAUGUGAGGAGCUACCAAGCAAACUGAUGGAAUAAUAAACCCAGAGCAGCUCAAUAAUCAUUCAUUAGGAACCUCAUUAAGAUACUUUUUACAUUUUACUUCCUGAACAGUUUAUUUAUUUUUAUUUUUACAGAUUCACUCACUUUCUCAACACAAAGGUCUGACUGUACCUUCAGUGCUUGUGGUGCAAAGUAAUCACGCCCCCUUGAAUAACCCCCCCUAAUAAAGAUAGAAAUGAUCCACAGUCUGGAUCUGAUUCAACCCCCUUUGACCUCCAGCUGCAGAGCAGAAAAGCUGCAGGUUUCAGGCGGACCACAUUUCAGGCUUUGACUAGGCCACUUUAUUUAUCCCAGCCAUCCUUUUCUAGUUCUGUCAAUCUCCCACCCCCUCUGACAGGCUUCAGUGUUGAAGGAAAGCUUCCCCACAGCAUCACACCGCCACCAUCUGCUGGGUCUGUCUCCUCAUUCUGUGCCACAUUCUGCAUGUUGGUCCGUCGGUUUUAUUCAAGCAGAGGAGCUUUUUCCACAUGUUGUCCAUGUCUUGUGGUUUCUACGCUCCACUCGUCUGUUUAGGCAGUUUUCUGGGUGAUCAGCUCAGAAUUACCAGACUGACAGAUUUUCCAACCAGAUUAAUUCUAUUCAGUUUAUUUCUAUAGCUCCAAUUCACAUCAUGUCAUCUCAGGUCACUUUCCAGUUCACCAGAUCAUCCAGUCAGAUUGAUUCAAAGUUUUCUAUCUAAGGAAAACCAGCUGAUUGCAUCGACUCAUUGACUCUUCAGCAAUCCCUCACACUAAGCAUGCUUGUAGCGACAGUGGAGAGGAAAAACUCCCUUUGAACAGGAAGUUAAAAGGGAGUGAUCCACAUUAUAUUGGCUUGGCUUUAUAGGUCUAUUACUCUCUUUUGAUUUUCAAAUGACGAGAUGAGAGGAGAUGGGAUGUCGUAUCUUGACCCGACCCAACUUUAAACAUCCCUAUUAGUUGACCUCUGAGCUGCCAGCUGGGUUCUUUGGUCUUCAUGUUCUCAAACAGAACAGCUGAGGCCUCCACAGAGCAGCUCAACGUAUAAAAGGGUUUUAAUUUUUAAUUUUAAUUGGCUGCACUGGGUUUUAUUUAGGGGUUUAUCUGUAGAGAGGGUUUAAACCAAUGCAGACCAAGCUUUGAAUAUUCUGAUCUGAGCAAAUUUCUGAAAACUGUUUCCUGCUAGUUUGACUAAUUUGGCCUUCAGAUAGAGAAGCAGAUCAACGCUGUGAGCCCUCCUCUCUCCAUUCCUUCCCUUCCUUUUCCCUUUAUUUUCCGUCUCUCCAGCCCUGCCAUUCGAUGUCACCCUGAAUCUACCACAGUUUUUAUCCAUACGGCUCCACUUUGAAAGGAAAUCUCCUGGUCUUCUGUUCUUCCUCUCUUGGUGCUCAGGCAGCUAUUCAGAGAGCUACUUUGCUGAGAGGACACUUAAAAUAGAAAAGUUUCAUGACUAUAAAUACAUUUGUGGGAACUACGGAAGGCUGACUAACAGGUAUGGCUGCUUUCGCUUCCCUCAGGAGAUGCAGUCAUUUAAAGUAUUUAUCCAUCAUCUAUCCUACAUAUUUCUACUGUUAUAGCCUAAAGUCAGUGUUCAUAAGUAGUUAUGAAUGUUUGUUUAUUAGCUAUAAAACUGUCUUCCUAAAUAAGGGCCAAUGAAAGUGUCCUUCUUGCAGUACCGUAUGCGGUCACUAGAUGUCGCCACUUCAACCUCUCUGGUGUGUUCCCAGUGCUCCCAGUGAAUCAGGUGGACUGACUGUUUUCACUCUGAUCAGUGUGUUGAUAAUUAUAAUAAAUGUAUAACUGAAAAUAAAAA